UACAGAGGGGGCAAGCGUUGUUCGGAAUUACUGGGCGUAAAGGGCGCGUAGGCGGCCGCCUAAGUCAGACGUGAAAUCCCUCGGCUCAACCGGGGAACUGCGUCCGAUACUGGAUGGCUUGAGUUUGGGAGAGGGACGCGGAAUUCCAGGUGUAGCGGUGAAAUGCGUAGAUAUCUGGAGGAACACCGGUGGCGAAGGCGGCGUCCUGGACCAAUACUGACACUGAUGAGCGAAAGCCAGGGGAGCAAACGGG
rnacentral:rRNA from 1 species